rnacentral:rRNA from 1 species
UGGGGAAUUUUGGACAAUGGGGGAAACCCUGAUCCAGCCAUCCCGCGUGUGCGAUGAAGGCCUUCGGGUUGUAAAGCACUUUUGGCAGGAAAGAAACGUCGCGGGUUAAUACCCGCGAAACUGACGGUACCUGCAGAAUAAGCACCGGCUAACUACGUGCCAGCAGCCGCGGUAAUACGUAGGGUGCAAGCGUUAAUCGGAAUUACUGGGCGUAAAGCGUGCGCAGGCGGUUCGGAAAGAAAGAUGUGAAAUCCCAGAGCUUAACUUUGGAACUGCAUUUUUAACUACCGGGCUAGAGUGUGUCAGAGGGAGGUGGAAUUCCGCGUGUAGCAGUGAAAUGCGUAGAUAUGCGGAGGAACACCGAUGGCGAAGGCAGCCUCCUGGGAUAACACUGACGCUCAUGCACGAAAGCGUGGGGAGCAAACAGGAUUAGAUACCCUGGUAGUCCACGCCCUAAACGAUGUCAACUAGCUGUUGGGGCCUUCGGGCCUUGGUAGCGCAGCUAACGCGUGAAGUUGACCGCCUGGGGAGUACGGUCGCAAGAUU